rnacentral:tRNA from 1 species
GCCGAGGUAGCUAAGCCCGGUUUAUGCAUCCCUCAUACGCACCACGGGAGUUCAAAUCUCCCCCUCGGCGCCA